rnacentral:rRNA from 1 species
GACGAACGCUGGCGGCGUGCCUAAUACAUGCAAGUUGAGCGCUGAAGGUUGGUACUUGUACCGACUGGAUGGGCAGCGAACGGGUGAGUAACGCGUGGGUAAUCUGCCUUUGAGCGGGGGACAACAUCUGGAAACGAAUGCUAAUACCGCAUAAAAACUUUAAACACAAGUUUUAAGUUUGAAAGAUGCAAUUGCAUCACUCAAAGAUGAUCCCGCGUUGUAUUAGCUAGUUGGUAAGGUAAAGGCUCACCAAGGCGAUGAUACGUAGCCGACCUGAGAGGGGGACGGGCCAAAUGGGACUGGGAACAGGGCCAAAAUCCUACGGGGAGCAGCCGUAGGGGAACUUCGGGAAUGGACGAAAGGCUGGACGGACAACGCCGGGGGAGGGGAGGAGGUUUUCGGAUCGGAAAACUCUGUUGGUAGGGAAGGAAGUUGGUGAGAGUGGAAAGCGCAUCUAGUGACGGUACCUACCCAGAAAGGCACGGCUAACUACGUG